rnacentral:sRNA from 1 species
CCACAAUGAAGGAUCGAAGUUUUACAUAGGAAUAUAUAGAAUAAAUCUUUAAAAAUCUUCUUCUCAGAAACUAAUCGGCCAGGAAAGCUGACACUUGUGUGGAAGGAUCCUCAGGUAGUGUAGAUUCAAAGUUGUGAAAAUCAUGACCCCCGGGGUACGGUGGGGCCACAAUGGGGGAUCGAAGUUUAACAUAGGAAUAUAUAGAGUAAAUCUUUAAAAAUCUUCUUCUCAGAAACUAAUCAGCCAGGAAAGCUGACACUUUUGUGGAUGCAUCCUCAGGUAGUGUAAAUUCAAAGUUGUGAAAAUCAUGAUCCCCAGGGGUGGGGUCGGGCCACAAUGGGGGGGGGUCAAAGUUUAACAAAGGAAUAUAUAGGGUAAAUCUUUAAAAAUCUUCUCAGAAACUAAUCAGCCAGAUGUUUCUUUAUAAUUGUUAAGACUUUGGCCCCAGGACAAUUCUUUGGCCUCCCGAGAAGGUUCAGAGUUUGAUGUACGUUUAUAUCUAAUAUAUAAACUAUUGUUAAGGAUCAUUUUGAGAACUGCAAUACUCAACAUAUGAUAUGACUAUAAAAUCAUCUUGUUAGAAAAGGGACUAAUGAUUAUAAACAUAAGAAUAUCCAGGGGAAAGUGGAUUUUAUUUAUACAGGAUCUACAUGUAUUAUUGUACAUUGUCCAGAUAGUUUGUAUUAUGACUCCAUUAAGCUGAUUUUAUCAUACCUAUUGUUCCUCAGGUGAGCGAUGUGGCCCAUGGGCCUCUUUUUACUCUUGCUCCUUAUUGGUACUUACAGUACAUGUAUUAGUAAAUGUACAUGUCCCCAAGCUCUACUGGAUCAAUUGCCAUGCAGUGUUUGUAGAAGCCCAAGUUUAUAAGUAUGCUUGCUACAGUUACUGUCCUAAAUACAACUACCAUAAACUGAUUCAAUGAGAGCACAGUUCUCUUUAAUUAUGUCUUAAUUACUUAUUCAAUAUUUAUCAGUGACAGAAAUUGGUUUUACUUUCCAAGUUUUGUUCUACAGUGUACAUGGUAUCCAUUUUAUGUCUUUUUAUUAACUCAGUCUGAAAAAAAAGAUGUUCUGUAAAACUCAACACAUAUUUAAAGAAUAAAAUUUAUAAUACC